GGGACACGUGGUAUCCUGUCUGAAUAUGGGGGGACCAUCCUCCAAGGCUAAAUACUCCUGACUGACCGAUAGUGAACCAGUACCGUGAGGGAAAGGCGAAAAGAACCCCGGCGAGGGGAGUGAAAAAGAACCUGAAACCGUGUACGUACAAGCAGUGGGAGCACCUUCGGGUGUGACUGCGUACCUUUUGUAUAAUGGGUCAGCGACUUAUAUUCUGUAGCAAGGUUAACCGUAUAGGGGAGCCGCAGGGAAACCGAGUCUUAACUGGGCGUUAAGUUGCAGGGUAUAGACCCGAAACCCGGUGAUCUAGCCAUGGGCAGGUUGAAGGUUGGGUAACACUAACUGGAGGACCGAACCGACUAAUGUUGAAAAAUUAGCGGAUGACUUGUGGCUGGGGGUGAAAGGCCAAUCAAACCGGGAGAUA
rnacentral:rRNA from 1 species